rnacentral:rRNA from 1 species
GAUGAACGCUAGCGGCAGGCAUAAUACAUGCAAGUUGAACGGGAUUCAGAUAGCAAUAUUUGAUGAGAGUGGCGCACGGGUGCGUAACACGUAUGCAACUUACCUUAAACUGGGAGAUAGCCCGUGGAAACAUGGAUUAAUAUCCCAUAGUAUAAAGAACAGGCAUUUGUUUUUUAUUAAAGCUCCGGCGGUUUAAGAUGGGCAUGCGCGUCAUUAGCUAGAUGGAGAGGUAACGGCUCACCAUUGCAACAAUGACUAGGGGGUCUGAGAGGAUGUCCCCCCACACUGGUACUGAGACACGGACCAGACUCCUACGGGAGGCAGCAGUAGGGAAUAUUGGGCAAUGGACGCAAGUCUGACCCAGCCGUGCCGUGUGCAGGAAGACGGCCCUCUGGGUUGUAAACUGCUUUUAUCAGGGAAGAAACCCUUCUACGUGUAGGAGGCUGACGGUACCUGAGGAAUAAGGAUCGGCUAACUCCGUGCCAGCAGCC